GGAAAUUGUCAAAAGUGUCAAAAGGAUGGGGAUGUUGGAGGAGCUGGAGGAAGUUGGUGUUAUCUCAGGGGGAGCUUUCUGCUGGAGCUACUGUCUGGAACGGGCUCAGAUUCUGUUUUGAAGAAGUGCGCCCAUUGUUGACUGCCCACUGCCCUGGAGGAAUACAGCAAGCAGGGCAAAUUGUAUGGCUAAGGUUGAUUUCGUCUCUGGUAUGUGAUUAACUUGGGGAGAGGGAGAGAGAAAUAUUCACUGGGAACAAAGAAUUCAAAAUGAGUGAGGUGGACCUAGUGACAACCACACUACUUCCUACGUGAGGUUUAAUACGAAGUGAUCCUUUCUGAUGCCUGAAUUUGUCCUAGCAGGUAGCAAAGAAUGUCUAGACUCCCCAAAAGGCAAGAUAAGUCUACAGUAAGAAGUACCUGGGAUGGGGAUUUGGCUCAAUGUACCUAUUAGAAAGGCCAGUAUGGUCAGAACUAAGGCUAGACACUCUCCUGACCAGCAUCUAGUCCCUGGAGUGGGCUUUGGAGCAAUAAUCAUCUGACCCAAGGUAGAGUUUCAGGAGCGCAGGAGUCUGGAGGUGUGAUGCCCCACAGGGUAGCAGCCAGGAGCUGAAAUCUGGCCCACUGGAAUGGCUUGGUUAUUUGUUGCAGCAACAGGAAACUGACCAACACCAUCCUGUACACUGUGGCUCUUCCCUCUGAUGAGAAGUGUGGGGUGUGGAGCUGAAGCCUCAAUGUCUAAGACCACGUUCUACCAAUUACCCACAUAUAGACACGCUCCAAGGCCUGAUGGGAAGGGCCAUCUGUGUAUCUUGCUUAGAACAGCAGCUGGCACUGUGUGGAAGGUCAGUGA
rnacentral:lncRNA from 1 species